UGAAUGCACUACUGUGUGUCACUCUGGAUAAGAGCGUCUGCUAAAUGACUAAAA
rfam:Salmo salar isolate Sally breed double haploid chromosome ssa28, whole genome shotgun sequence.